AAAUCGUGGUGGGGGCAUUUCUUGAAAAGGUCCUUGAACCUUUCAUGUGCUUCAAAAAAACUCUCUAAGUCUCUUUGCCUAAAUGCAAAAAUUUCUUGUCUUGUCAU